rnacentral:rRNA from 1 species
UACGUAGGGUGCAAGCGUUAAUCGGAAUUACUGGGCGUAAAGCGUGCGCAGGCGGUGAUGUAAGACAGAUGUGAAAUCCCCGGGCUCAACCUGGGAACUGCCUUUGUGACUGCAUCGCUAGAGUACGGCAGAGGGGGAUGGAAUUCCGCGUGUAGCAGUGAAAUGCGUAGAUAUGCGGAGGAACACCGAUGGCGAAGGCAAUCCCCUGGGCCUGUACUGACGCUCAUGCACGAAAGCGUGGGGAGCAAACAGG